GCCCUUGUAGCUCAGUUGGAUAGAGCAGCGGUUUCCUAAACCGUUGGUCGUGCGUUCAAGUCGCGCCAAGGGCA
rnacentral:tRNA from 1 species